rnacentral:lncRNA from 1 species
UUCCGACAAACCAAGUAAUAGUAUUCACAAAUGAGAGAUCCCACUACUUCUUUCUGUAUAAGAGUGUUAGGGGGUCAAAGUGUUGAAAUGUUGAUUGCUAAACAUCAAUACGUGGCAGACUCCUACUGUCAUUUACCAGCAGAGAAGAUUCUUUCUUAUCUUGGUAACAUUUUAUACAUUUCCCUGUCUGUUCCUACACAUAUUAUGAUGCACAAAAUCUUAGAGAGCUGAUUAAGAAGUAGGUAUACUCACCUUUUCCUCGUAACUUCACACCUUGCAUUUUUUUUAUGAUGCACGAAAUCUUAGAGAGCUGAUUAUGAAGUAGGUAUACUCACCUUUUCUUCGUAACUUCACACCUUGCAUUUUUCUUAUUCUUCACUACAUAAGAAAUAUAUGUACAAAUUAUAUAUAUCCAUGAUUUCUGGCAAACCAUUCUUAUCUCUCUCACUGACUUCAUGAACUACACUUUACGGUAAUCCACAUUUGGUUAUAUAUAUUUUUGGUUAACAUAUUUCUAUUUUACUGCUAAAGUGCUAUUGAUCCUUUUUGC